UACGGGAGGCAGCAGUGGGGAAUAUUGCACAAUGGGCGAAAGCCUGAUGCAGCUAUGCCGCGUGUAUGAAGAAGGCCUUAGGGUUGUAAAGUACUUUCAUCGGGGAGGAAAAAACAAAACUAAUAAUUUUAUUUCUUGACGUUACCCGAAAAAGAAGCACCGGCUAACUCCGUGCCAGCAGCCGCGGUAAUACGGAGGGUGCUAGCGUUAAUCAGAAUUACUGGGCGUAAAGAGCACGUAGGUGGUUUUUUUAAGUCAGAUGUGAAAUCCCUGGGCUUAACCUGGAAACUGCAUUUUGAAACUGAAAUACUAGAGUAUCGUAGAGGGAGGUAGAAUUCUAGGUGUAGCGGUGAAAUGCGUAGAUAUCUGGAGGAAUACCUGUGGCGAAAGCGGCCUCCUAAACGAAUACUGACACUGAGGUGCGAAAGCGUGGGGAGCAAACAGGGAUUAGAUACC
rnacentral:rRNA from 1 species